rnacentral:rRNA from 3 species
UGGGGAAUUUUGGACAAUGGGGGCAACCCUGAUCCAGCCAUGCCGCGUGAGUGAAGAAGGCCUUCGGGUUGUAAAGCUCUUUCGGCGGGGAAGAAAUGGCAACGGCUAAUAUCCGUUGUUGAUGACGGUACCCGCAUAAGAAGCACCGGCUAACUACGUGCCAGCAGCCGCGGUAAUACGUAGGGUGCGAGCGUUAAUCGGAAUUACUGGGCGUAAAGCGUGCGCAGGCGGUUUCGUAAGACAGACGUGAAAUCCCCGGGCUCAACCUGGGAACUGCGUUUGUGACUGCGAGGCUAGAGUACGGCAGAGGGGGGUAGAAUUCCACGUGUAGCAGUGAAAUGCGUAGAGAUGUGGAGGAAUACCGAUGGCGAAGGCAGCCCCCUGGGUUAGUACUGACGCUCAUGCACGAAAGCGUGGGGAGCAAACAGG